AAUAUAUUAGACAAACUAGAGAAAAUCAAGAAAAUCUAAAUAAUGAAAUUAAUUAUAGAAACCGAAUUAGACAAAUAAUGAAAGACCUAAAAGAAAAAUUAAUAUGGAUAGAAAAAACCUUAGAAAAUUUAGAUAAAAGUACAUGUGAUAGUUUAUAUAAUUUAAAAAACUCACUACGAGAAGAACAACACAAAAUAAUAAAUAACAUUGAAAAUCUAGAAUUAGAUAUAUAUUAUAGCACAGAUAGGAUAAAUUAUUAUACAAGAAUUUGUAACUCUGUAAUUACUACAGGAUAAAAUAAUUAAUGAAUAUAUCUUACGAAAAAAGUAAAUUAUUAAAAGAUAACAUCCACGCACUAAAUAAAAAUAGAUUCACUACAAAUAUGUACCAAAUCUAUUAUACCUAUUUAAUUAAAUCCGCGCACCCCCCUACAAAUAUGUACCAAAUCUAUUAUACCUAUUUAAUUAAAUCCGCGCACCCCCCUACAAAUAUGUACCAAAUCUAUUAUACCUAUUUAAUUAAAUCCGCGCACCCCCCUACAAAUGGUAUCAGAGCUAUAAAAUUUCUUAAUAAAAAUAUGCAAAAACUACUAAGACUAAAACAAACAGCUACAAAACAAUUUUAAAAAUAGAUCAUUUAGAUUAUCUUAAAGUUUUAAUAUUGUAUAUACUUAAAAACAUAGAAAUUAUAGAUAUUAAGAAAAUAAUAUUAGAAAAAGUAAUAGACUACGAAAUUGAAACUAUAAAUUAUCUAGAACAGUUAUACGAAGAAAUUUACCCAGAAGAAUAUUAUUCAGAUUAAGAUAUGUUAGAAUAUAUUAGACAAACUAGAGAAAAUCAAGAAAAUCUAAAUAAUGAAAUUAAUUAUAGAAACCGAAUUAGACAAAUAAUAAAAGACCUAAAAGAAAAAUUAAUAUGGAUAGAAAAAACCUUAGAAAAUUUAGACAAAAGUACAUGUGAUAGUCUAUAUAAUUUAAAAAACUCACUACGAGAAGAACAACACAAAAUAAUAAAUAACAUUGAAAAUCUAGAAUUAGAUAUAUAUUAUAGCACAGAUAGGAUAAAUUAUUAUACAAGAAUUUGUAACUCUGUAAUUACUACAGGAUAAAAUAAUUAAUGAAUAUAUCUUACGAAAAAAGUAAAUUAUUAAAAGAUAACAUCCACGCACUAAAUAAAAAUAGAUUCCCUACAAUUCCGUACAAAUCUAUUAUAUCUAUU
rnacentral:lncRNA from 1 species